rnacentral:rRNA from 1 species
CAGUCGCCGCGGUAAUACAGAGGGUGCGAGCGUUAAUCGGAUUUACUGGGCGUAAAGCGUGCGUAGGCGGCUUCUUAAGUCGGAUGUGAAAUCCCUGAGCUUAACUUAGGAAUUGCAUUCGAUACUGGGAAGCUAGAGUAUGGGAGUGGAUGGUAGAAUUCCAGGUGUAGCGGUGAAAUGCGUAGAGAUCUGGAGGAAUACCGAUGGCGAAGGCAGCCAUCUGGCCUAAUACUGACGCUGAGGUACGAAAGCAUGGGGAGCAAACAGGAUUAGAUACCCGCGUAGUCCCUGUCUCUUAUAA